UGGUUGAAAAGGUUUGUUAGAUGGAGAAAGAGCUGAAGCGUAUAAGGGAGAAGCGAAGAAUAUUUGCAGAACUAACCAGAAAAAUAUUGAAAGUGUAAUCAUCUUCUUCCCCAGUUCUUUAUGUAAUUCUUAGGGUUUGUUAUUUCAUUGUUGUUAGAGCUGAUUCUACUUCUAAGCUCUAUCACAUGAAAUUUUGGAUUCUCGUUUCAUGAACGACGAUUCAAUUUGGUGUUUGUAAAUGGAUUUUAAUUGAGUUACAGUUUCUCUUUAACAAAGGUAUCAGAGCUGUGUCAUCCUCGGAUUCAUUUCAAUGGCGGCGAAACAAUAUCAGACGGUGGUUCGUGAAGCUUUGACGGAGACUCGAUCAGAAUGGUUUGGAUUGGUGUUUAGCAAUACAGAAGAAUCGAUUGGAGCUCACAACGUCGGACGAUUCUCACGGCUUGUAACUACAAAUCCGAUCAAGAAUCAUUAAACUAGCACUGCUGGACCUGGUACGUCAUCGAACAAUUAUUUUGAUGCUACACGUUUGGAGAAAUUAGUCCCUCAGAUUUAAUGGUGAUAGAAUCAAGGAUUGGCUAUUCCAGAUCAAACAGUUCUUCUUAAUUGAUAAUACUCUGGAUGAACUCAAAGCUACUCUUGCUUCAAUGCAUUUAGAUGCUAUGGCUGCUUCUUGUCACCAAUCAAUUUCACAAUCAGUUGUUAGGUGUAAUUGGGGGCUUUACAAAGUGUUGUUGCAAGGAUACUAUUAUAAGCUUAUGGAUGCUAUAGCAGAGCUGAAACAGUUGCAGGAAACAGAAGGAAUUGAGGAUUAUCAUGAAAAAUUUGAGCGGAUUAAGUCUCGUGUGAAUCUCCCUGAAGUGUAUUUGGUUAGUGUUUACUUGGAGGGACUGAGAACUGAUACUCAAAUGAACGUUAGGAUGUUCCAACCUCAAACCAUUCAACAAUGUUUCUCGAUUGGAAGAUUAUAUGAGUUCGCUUAUCCGACGAGAGUGAUUAGCAGAAAAGGGGUUGAUGAUUAUCAAAUUAGAGUUCAGCCUUCAAAUGUUUCAGGAAAAGCUGCAGAGACUUCUUUGAUGGAUUUUAACAAUUGUUCAGGCGUUAGAAGGAGGAGUGAAAGUAGCAUUCAGUAUAAAGGGGUUUUAUCAUUCAAACCAGAGCUUGUUCAUAAAAAAGGUUCUUGUUCCUACUUUGGAGAAACCUAAAGAUGCUAUAGCUCAGCCUCACAAAAAAGCUUGUGCUGAAUCAGAAGAAGUUCAGGUGGAGAAGGUAGCCUCGGAAGAAACCGGAGUUAUAGCUCAUAUUUCGGUUAAUGCAAUUUCAGGAGUCUAUGACUACCAAACAAUGAGAGUGAAGGGUUCUUAUGGGAAGCAAGUAUUGUAUAUACUCAUUGAUUCAAGUUCUACACAUAACUUCAUGGAUCCUAAGGUAGCUGAGCAGUUUAACUGUGUUUUAAAACCUGAAAGUAUGGCUCGAGUUUCAGUAAUUGAUGGGAGAAUGUUGAAGGUUGAUGCUAAAAUUGAUAAGUUUCAAUGGAAAUUUAGAGGUAAACAAUUUCAGACUGAUCUUAUGGUAAUUCCCUUAAGUGGGUGUGAUAUGGUAUUAGGUAAGCAGUGGUUGGAGACAUUGGGGCCAAUAACUUGUGAUUUUGAGAUGUUAGUGAUGCAGUUUCGUCUUGGACAGAAAAAGGUCCUUCUUCAGGGCAUUCGACAAGGCUCUGUCAGAGAUGUGAAGGCUGUAAAGCUUAAUAAGCUUAAUAAGCUGAAGGAGAUUCAAGUUCAACCUUCGCAUAAGAAGCAACCGGUUCAGCAAGAACCUUAUGGUGUGAGUAAACUGUUGAAGCAACAUGAAGCGAGUUAUGCCCCAAAAUUGAUUGAAAUGUUGCCUAAUGAUAGAAGUUCAGAAUUGAUAUCACACGAUGUUGUUGGUUCUUCAAGAGGACACAUCACAAGUUUUGUCUUAGCAGUGGGUGAUUGUGGGAUGAGUGUUGGAAGUUUAAAUUCAAGCUGGAAAACGAGGACACAAAGCAACAAAAAAAUAAGGUGUUGUUUCAACAUUCAACCAGUUCUUCUAUUAGAUUGCAGAGUAUGGAAAAGCAAAACAAAUGUCCCAAGUCUUGGAUGUUCAAAUUCAAGAUGGAUUCUAAGCUUGCAGAAACUAGUCACUUAAAGUGUCACAACGAAUGUUGUCUUUGCACACAAAUCGGAGGCAUCAAGAAGCAGAGAAAACUUCUUCUGCUUUCUCUUUGUCCUAGUUUCGUAUGGCGAGAAGUGAUGGGUGUUCAUGAAGUUCCUGCAGAAGAACUGUUAUUAGUCUCUUUGGAAGCUAAACCUCAACCUGACCAAGCGAUUUCUGUAGAAGAGCAAAUGGUUCAGCAAGAGCCUUCUGUUGGUGGGAAGAAACUGUUGCUAACGUUGUGAAAGGAUUUUGAUUCGCCUAUGGUCAUUAAGGAUCAGCAACCUGUUGUGGCAAAAGCUUUGAGUCUACUCUUCUAUGAUUUCUAUUCGGUAAUGGCUGACUUUUGAGAGAGGUCAACAUGUGUCAAGCCUUAUAAGUGGAAGCAAUUAUUAUCUCCAAAUUCUUGGAUGUUUAAAUAUAAAUUGGGAAGGGAGUGGAAGAAGAGAUUGAACGUUUCGUUUCAAUGUUCUAUACUGAUGAUUACAGUUGGUUACAGAUCAGACUUAGCGAGACUCUUCUGCUUUGUACAAGAGUUUCAAGCCGAUAAACCUUGUGGUCAAAGUUUUCUAAAGAGGGAGGAUUUGAUACAGGAAAAGAGAUAAGAAGAGUAGCAUGUGUGGCACGUGAGAAGGAUAGGAGUUGCUGGACAUGUGGGAGAAGUUUAUUGGUUGAAAAGGUUUGUUAGAUGGAGAAAGAGCUGAAGCGUAUAAGAGCAUGUGCAUCGCACCGUCCUUCGUCCGUCCUUCCUAAUUAAAAUGUCAAAUUUAAAUGUAAAUCAAUAAAUUAUCAAAGAAACGUAUCUACAAGAGGGACGUAUAUUGCUCGGUCCUUCAUAACACGUGGCCGCGUGUGAGAGGUUUGGGUAGGGUGAAGGAAAAAAAAUCGAAGUAUCGAGAUCAUUUGUUUUCUCUCCGACUCUCUCUCUUUACGCAGCUUCCUUCAAUCAUCACCAUUUCCGUCGUGCUUCUCUCUCUCGUUCGUCUGCGAAGAAGAAGAAUCUGACUCUGAGUUGUUGUAAGGACAUGAAUCUCGCGGUGGCUAGUUUUAGUGGCAAUUUGGGCGUCUUGUCGCAAUGCAGCUCAUGUUGUAGUCGUCUUAAGUUUCAGCCUUUUGUAGGAGCUACUUCGAGUCUCAAUUUCGGGCAAACAGGAACAUCUCGAAAGAAGAAGGAUCUGAAGCUUGAAAGGUUUUCAUAUUGUUUUUAUUCAUCUUUGUCUUUUGUUAGUUAACCGGUGAGCACUACUAUUGCUUCUUUGUCUACUUA